AAAAGAGAACCGUUCGGUCACAACUGCGACGCUCGACUACACGUUGCAAUGCAAGACUUUUGGUCAUUUGGAGAACGAGGACAUCAACACUAUCGAUUAUGACAGAUCCAGUGUGAAGUUCGAAAGGUAACUGGCUUCUUCCGCCGCUUCUUAUCUUCUGACUUUUCGUGAAAUCCGUUUCGCGUUUUUGCGUCCCUAUUUUUCUCCUCUUCUCUUCCUCUUUCUGGUGUUCUUUGACGCGCAGAUCGAAAACACCAAGGUGGCACAAGCAACGCUACUUUCCGAGCAUCGCGGAAGCCGAGAGCUAGCUGCGAUCAAGUCGACAAGGCUCCGGGAGCGACACGUCCGGAAGCCCUUGCGGCGAAUGCGCCGGGCCUAGUUAUAGAGUGCCAGUAAAGCCUUGUAGAGAUGUAUUUUCGCGAGGUGUCGAAUCGAGUACGGAAUCUAACAACGAAGGCUCGCCCUCACUCGCGAGACGACGAAGCCGACAGCCGAGCCGGUCUACUCGCAGGUAGCCAAGUUCGGUGGAGGAUAUGACACUAUUGCCGCCAACCGGGUUCAGUGACAGCCGCGAAUUGAGCGACGUGGAGUGCGACCGUGACUGUGAUCGCGAACGCGAUCGCGAAUGGCAAGGUUUAUCAGCCGGAACCCGUCACUGCGGCAGUUUGGGCAAACUUCCGAUUGAGGCCGUCGAAUCUAUGCUCGCAUCGGCACGAGUCUCCGUAAACAGGCAUGCCAAGUACCAAGCAGCCGAGACCGGUCUAAUCCUCGGAAAUUUAUUUAUAUCAGCAAAGGAAGGAGCAAGAGAGACAAGAAUUCACUAUACACGUAUGAUCGAGAUUCGCUGGUUCGACUUGGUAACUUCGCCAAACAAUUUAACAUUAUUUAGAAAGAGAUGACGAGUCGUCUCUUUUCUUGAAACUAUCCGUCGCCGUUGGAGAAAAUUUUAAUGUGUUGAAAAGAGUGCGGGAGAGACAAUUCAAUUUUUAAUGGAGGUGGAUACAAGAGACUCUCAUUGUCAGAUCCAUUUGUGUCGAAGAGGCGUCUCAAUAACUGAUCUGCGUUGCGCCAAAUACUGCCGUUAUUAUACACAAAACAUAGCCUUCGUAUA